GAUGAACGCUGGCGGCGUGCUUAACACAUGCAAGUCGAACGGAAAGGCCAGUGCUUGCACUGGUACUCGAGUGGCGAACGGGUGAGUAACACGUGGGUGAUCUGCCCUGCACUUCGGGAUAAGCCUGGGAAACUGGGUCUAAUACCGGAUAGGACAAUGGUUUGGAUGCCGUUGUGGAAAGUUUUUUCGGUGUGGGAUGAGCUCGCGGCCUAUCAGCUUGUUGGUGGGGUAAUGACCUACCAAGGCGUCGACGGGUAGCCGGCCUGAGAGGGUGUACGGCCACAUUGGGACUGAGAUACGGCCCAGACUCCUACGGGAGGCAGCAGUGGGGAAUAUUGCACAAUGGGCGCAAGCCUGAUGCAGCGACGCCGCGUGGGGGAUGACGGCCUUCGGGUUGUAAACUCCUUUCGCUAGGGACGAAGCGUAUUUGUGACGGUACCUGGAGAAGAAGCACCGGCUAACUACGUG
rnacentral:rRNA from 1 species